GUGAACGCCCUCACGGGCUUAACCAUCCAACCAACCUUUGUGAACCGUCGCCUUCGGGCGCCCCCCUUUUUAUAACAAACUAUAACAGUCAUGAACGUAGUAUACAAAAACUAAACA
rnacentral:misc_RNA from 1 species